UCAGUGCUGUAAUCGUUUUUAAAUGAGCAAAAACACUUAGGCUUUCAUAAUGGGAUUACAAAAUCUUGGGGUGAAACGUUAUUGGCAAAGAGGUUAAAUGAAGUCUUUUGUAUCUAAAUAAUAAACAUUUGUAGAGUAGAAACAUUUAAAACUCUCCAGGCCAUUUAAACUCUCCACAUACCAGAGGAAAAAAGUUGAUUACUUAGAGACGAAAGCAAAUCGAACUCAACUGACCUUGCCGCCAUCAACCUAACACACGCUAUCAAAUCAAUUUUGUCACAGAAGGAUUAUGACACAGGCCUAUGAGUCAGCAGUCUAAACUCACUGAGUGAUAGCACUGUGGACAUGAAAAGGAGGAACAAUCAAAAGGUCUGGCUUGAAUAUUAACAUUCUCGGGCCUCUGUGAGAAUGGACAGGACAGGACGGCAACCUCUGUUUUCCAACACCAGGAUGGCUGACACCGUGAAAAGGGGCACUCAGCAAUGGCACAAUGGACAAGAAUCACUUACCCUGCAAUUCUUACUGGGACUCUAUGAAAGUUAUACGACUAAAAUAAAUGCAGUGUCUCUAUU